UUAUUUCUUUCAUUUUCUUCUUCGUCACUAGAAAUCUGAGAAGGGGCGGUGCUGGUGGACCGGUGGUAAAGGUGGUCGUGGAUUUUUUCUUCCUCCAAAAUUCUUCUCACUGGUUCUUCUUCUUCACCAACUUAAAAGCAUGGGUCGCAAAGCUGGUGGGUUGUACAUAAAUCCGAGAAAGUUUGGGACUCUUUCGAAACCUUGCAUGAAAGAGAUGAUGGCGCUUCUAAAUUGCUUGGCGACUAGUGGUAACAAUGAUGAUAAGUGUGUUAAGCAUAAGGACCUCUUGCGUACUUGCACGGAUACGCAGGCUGGUGUAGGCCGAAAGCCAUGGGGAAGCAUCAAUUGCCACUUGCAUAGCUUAGCAGAGCAAAGAAAUAACUGCAGAUUUCCAGUUAAAAUGGGGUUUGAAAUUUUCCAUAUAAAUGUGUGAAGAUUUUAUUCUUCAACUAGAUUUUGUAUAUAGGUUUUCUUUUGUCCAUUUUGCCGGCAUUUUGAACCUUCGCUUAGAAUUUUUGCGAACGAUUGUUGGGAGGUUCUAAUGGGUUUUCUUUGUCCCCUUGUAUUACCAUUGCCAACAGCUUAUUUAGUUUUACCUUCCAUUGGUAUGUACGUGAUAAGAGCAACAUAUGAAACAGAUAUGACGCAAUAAGUAUGCAAUGUUUAAGUCAAAUUAUAUGCUAUGAAUUCUUGCAA